UAGCAUAAUCAUUAGUUUUUUAAUUGAGAACUGGAAUGAAAGGUUAAAUAAAAAAUAAUCUUUAUUAAUAUUAAAAUUUUUGAAUUUGUUUUUUUAGUAAAAAAACUAAAAUAAAUAAAAAAGACGAUAAGACCCUAUAAAGCUUUAUAAUACAAUAAUUUAAUAAUUUAUUAGAAUAUUUAAAUUAUUUUUUUUUUAUUAUUUGAUUGGGGUGAUUUAAAGAUUUAUAAAACUCUUUAUUUUUGUAAUAUUUCAUAUUUAAAUGUGUUUUGAUCCUUAAAAUUUUAAGAAUAUAAAAAUAAGUUACUUUAGGGAUAACAGCGUAAUUUUUUUGAAGAGUUCUAAUCGAUAAAAAAGAUUGCGACCUCGAUGUUGAAUUAAGAUAAAAAUUAGGUGCAGAAGUUUAAUUUUU
rnacentral:rRNA from 1 species